CAGCAGCCGCGGUAAUACGUAGGGCGCAAGCGUUGUCCGGAAUUAUUGGGCGUAAAGAGCUCGUAGGCGGUCUGUCGCGUCUGGUGUGAAAUCCCGAGGCUCAACCUCGGGCUUGCAUCGGGUACGGGCAGACUAGAGUGCGGUAGGGGAGACUGGAAUUCCUGGUGUAGCGGUGGAAUGCGCAGAUAUCAGGAGGAACACCGAUGGCGAAGGCAGGUCUCUGGGCCGCAACUGACGCUGAGGAGCGAAAGCAUGGGGAGCGAACAGGAUUAGAUACCCCUGUAGUCCCUGUCUCUUAUAU
rnacentral:rRNA from 1 species